rnacentral:rRNA from 1 species
UGGGGAAUUUUGGACAAUGGGCGCAAGCCUGAUCCAGCCAUGCCGCGUGCGGGAAGAAGGCCUUCGGGUUGUAAACCGCUUUUGUCAGGGAAGAAAUCUUCUGAGUUAAUACCUCGGGAGGAUGACGGUACCUGAAGAAUAAGCACCGGCUAACUACGUGCCAGCAGCCGCGGUAAAUACGUAGGGUGCAAGCGUUAAUCGGAAUACUGGGCGUAAAGCGUGCGCAGGCGGUUUUGUAAGACAGAGGUGAAAUCCCCGGGCUCAACCUGGGAACUGCCUUUGUGACUGCAAGGCUUGAGUGCGGCAGAGGGGGGAUGGAAUUCCGCGUGUAGCAGUGAAAUGCGUAGAUAUGCGGAGGAACACCGAUGGCGAAGGCAAUCCCCUGGGCCUGCACUGACGCUCAUGCACGAAAGCGUGGGGAGCAAAACAGGAUUAGAUACCCCUGGUAGUCCACGCCCUAAAACCGAUGUCAACUGGUUGUUGGGAAGGUUCCUUCUCAGUAACGUAGCUAACGCGUGAAGUUGACCGUCUGGGGA